AGAGUAGAUGGUGGAUGCCUUGGGUAGUAGAGGCGAUGAAGGACGUACUAGACUGCGAUAAGCUGCGUGGAGCUGUCAAGAAGCUUUGAGGCGCAGAUGUCCGAAUGGGGCAACCCAACUUACAGCAAUGUAAGUUACUCUAUUUAAGAGAGCGAACCUAGCGAAGUGAAACAUCUCAGUAGCUAGAGGAAAAGAAAUCAACGAGAUUCCCUGAGUAGUGGCGAGCGAAAGGGGAAGAGGGCAAACCGGGUGCUUGCACUCGGGGUUGAGGACGACAACAUUCAAGGGGUUUAUCUAGCAGAGUUACCUGGAAAGGUAAGCCAUAGAAGGUGAUAGCCCUGUAUGCGAAAGAUACACCCUAGAUAGUCGUAUCCAGAGUAGGCCAGGACACGUGAAAUCCGGGCUGAAGCCGGGGAGACCACUCUCCAACCCUAAAUACUACUACUACACCGAUAGCGCACAAGUACCGUGAGGGAAAGGUGAAAAGAACCGUGGGUAACGGAGUGAAAUAGAACCUGAAACCAUCUACUUACAAUCAUUCAGAGCCCUAUGAUUUAUCAGGGUGAUGGACUGCCUUUUGCAUAAUGAUCCUGCGAGUUGUGGUGUCUGGCAAGGUUAAGUGAAAACGAGCCGUAGCGAAAGCGAGUCUGAAUAGGGCGCUUUAGUCAGACGCUGCAGACCCGAAGCCAAGUGAUCUAUCCAUGGCCAAGUUGAAACGAGUGUAACAGCUUGUGGAGGACUGAACCCGUGCCCAUUGAAACGGGCUGGGAUGAGCUGUGGAUAGGGGUGAAAGGCCAAACAAACUUGGUGAUAGCUGGUUCUCUUCGAAAUAUAUUUAGGUAUAGCCUCAAGUCAUAACAAGAGGGGGUAGAGCUCUGAUUGGGCUAGGGCUGCUCGCCGCAGUACCAAACCCUGUCAAACUGCGAAUACCUUUUGUUGUAUCUUGGGAGUCAGGCGGUGGGUGAUAAAAUCAAUCGUCAAGAGGGAAACAACCCAGACUACCAACUAAGGUCCCCAAGUUCUAUUCUGAGUGGAAAAAGAUGUGUGGUUACUCAAACAACCAGGAGGUUGGCUUAGAAGCAGCCAUCCUUUAAAGAAAGCGUAACAGCUCACUGGUCUAGUGAUCAUGCGCUGAAAAUAUAACGGGGCUAAGAUAGACACCGAAGUUGUAGAUUGCUCUUUUAGAGCAGUGGUAGAAGAGCGUUCUGUGCAGCGUUGAAGGCAUACCGGUAAGGAGUGUUGGAGCGCACAGAAGUGAGCAUGCAGGAAUGAGUAGCGAUAAGAUACGUAAGAAUCGUAUCCGCCGUAAAUCUAAGGUUUCCUACGCGAUGUUCGUCAUCGUAGGGUUAGUCGGGUCCUAAGCCAAGUCCGAAAGGGGUAGGCGAUGGGAAAUAGGUUAAUAUUCCUAUACCAAUUAGGGUGUGCGAUGGGAGGACGCAUAAAGUUAGGUGAGCUAGCUGAUGGAAGUGCUAGUCGAAGGGUGUAGAUUGGGAGAGAGGCAAAUCCGCUCCUGUAUUUGAAACCUAACAGGCUCUCUAAGACCUUCGGGUCAAGGAGAGAAUCACUGAUACUAUCGUGCCAAGAAAAGUCUCUAAGUUUAGCCCUAAUUGUCCGUACCGCAAACCGACACAGGUAGAUGAGAUGAGUAUUCUAAGGCGCGUGGAAGAACUCUCUUUAAGGAACUCUGCAAACUAGCACCGUAAGUUCGCGAUAAGGUGUGCCUACGCAAGUAGGUCUCAGCAAAGAGUCCCUCCCGACUGUUUACCAAAAACACAGCACUUUGCCAACUCGUAAGAGGAAGUAUAAGGUGUGACGCCUGCCCGGUGCUCGAAGGUUAAGAGGAUGGGUUAGCUCGCAAGAGCGAAGCUUUGAAUUGAAGCCCGAGUAAACGGCGGCCGUAACUAUAACGGUCCUAAGGUAGCGAAAUUCCUUGUCGGUUAAAUACCGACCUGCAUGAAUGGCGUAACGAGAUGGGAGCUGUCUCAAAGAGAGAUCCAGUGAAAUUGUAGUGGAGGUGAAAAUUCCUCCUACCCGCAGCAAGACGGAAAGACCCCGUGGACCUUUACUACAGCUUAGCACUGCUAAUGGGAAUGCCAUGCGCAGGAUAGGUGGGAGGCUGUGAAGCAAGAGCUUUGGCUCUUGUGGAGCCAUCCUUGAGAUACCACCCUUGGCGUUUUUGUUAGCUAACUGGCUAGAGUUAUCCUCUAGCAGGACAAUGCUUGGUGGGUAGUUUGACUGGGGCGGUCGCCUCCUAAAAAGUAACGGAGGCUUACAAAGGUUAGCUCAUGGCGGUUGGAAAUCGCCAGUUGAGUGUAAUGGCACAAGCUAGCUUAACUGCAAGAGAGACAACUCAAGCAGAGACGAAAGUCGGUCAUAGUGAUCCGGUGGUUCUCGUGUGGGAGAGCCAUCGCUCAAAGGAUAAAAGGUACCCCGGGGAUAACAGGCUGAUCUCCCCCAAGAGCUCACAUCGACGGGGAGGUUUGGCACCUCGAUGUCGGCUCAUCGCAUCCUGGGGCUGGAGCAGGUCCCAAGGGUAUGGCUGUUCGCCAUUUAAAGCGGUACGCGAGCUGGGUUCAGAACGUCGUGAGACAGUUCGGUCCCUAUCUGCUGUGGGCGUAGGAAAGCUGAGGAGAGCUGUCCCUAGUACGAGAGGACCGGGAUGGACAUGCCACUGGUGCACCAGUUGUUCUGCCAAGAGCACCGCUGGGUAGCUACGCAUGGUUGUGAUAAGAGCUGAAAGCAUCUAAGCUCGAAGCCAACUCCAAGAUGAGCUUUCCCUGAAGCUCGCAUGAAGACUACAUGUUUGAUAGGGUGGGUGUGUAAGUGCAGUAAUGCACUCAGCUAACCACUACUAAUAGAGCGUUUGGCUUGUUU
rnacentral:rRNA from 1 species